GAACAGCAGAGGAAGCAGGUGCAGCAAAUGUUGCAGCAGUACACAAGUUAAGUAACUUUACUCACAACAUGAACAAUAAGCUGAGGUAUAAUUUAAUAUGUGGAAUCCAAAGAGAAGCAUGUGAUAAAAUAUAAAAGGUUGAUUUCUCGCUUUUUUGAAAUGGACAUAAAGUUGAUUCCUUACUCUUCUUCUUCCAUAUUUGCGGCAACCUGUUUAUGUACAGUAGUUAGAAUUCUGAAUGCUAUCUAUCAAUCAUUUUCAUGUGUUUACUCUAAUCAUCUCAAUUUUAUCCUCACUGAAGAAGAACUGGAGGCCAGACUGAACGCCAGUGAUUUGGAGGGCAAAAGCAAAUGCAUGGAACCACUGCAGAAGGAAAGGAAAGAGUUGAAGGCCAGACUGACAGAACUCGGAAAUAAGCUCGGAGAGGUAGACAAAGGAGUGAAGGGACUGAAGAUCCAGAAGCCAGCCUGAAUGCCACUGACAGAAACAAUGGUGGCAUACUUACAGAUGGAAAUGAAAGAACUGGAGGCUAGACUGAAUGCCAAUGAUUUGGAUGGCACAGGAGUGGAAC